GACGUAGGAUGCAAGUGUUAUCCGGAAUCACUGGGCGUAAAGCGUCUGUAGGUGGUCAAAUAAGUCAACUGUUAAAUCUUGAGGCUCAACCUCAAAACCGCAGUCGAAACUAUUAGACUAGAGUAUAGUAGGGGUAAAGGGAAUUUCCAGUGGAGCGGUGAAAUGCGUAGAGAUUGGAAAGAACACCGAUGGCGAAGGCACUUUACUGGGCUAUUACUAACACUCAGAGACGAAAGCGUGGGGAGCAAACAGG
rnacentral:rRNA from 1 species